UAGAGAUGACAAUUCUAGGUGGUGCCAAACAUGCAGCAAGCCCUUGGGACUCGCAAUUGCAAUAUAACAAGUGCCUUUCACCACUCAGAGUUAAUAAUGACGGGUGGUCCGUAAAAGGGCGGGUUAGAGGCUGUGCUGACUGUAAAAAAGAGCAAAUCUUCAGACCCACUGUAUUGGUUCAGAAAACCCUGCACAUUAUCUGCCUCUCUCAUAGACGAGCAGAAUGAACUUGUCGUAUAUAUACAAACAUGUUGUAUAUAUUUUUUAUUACAUUCUGGGAAAUGCAUGUACAAAAAUAAAUAAUAUUUAACAA